AGUGAACGCUGGCGGUAGGCCUAACACAUGCAAGUCGAACGGCAGCACAGUAAGAGCUUGCUCUUACGGGUGGCGAGUGGCGGACGAGUGAGGAAUACAUCGGAAUCUACUUUUUCGUGGGGGAUAACGUAGGGAAACUUACGCUAAUACCGCAUACGACCUACGGGUGAAAGCAGGGGAUCUUCGGACCUUGCGCGAUUGAAUGAGCCGAUGUCGGAUUAGCUAGUUGGCGGGGUAAAGGCCCACCAAGGCGACGAUCCGUAGCUGGUCCGAGAGGAUGAUCAGCCACACUGGAACUGAGACACGGUCCAGACUCCUACGGGAGGCAGCAGUGGGGAAUAUUGGACAAUGGGCGCAAGCCUGAUCCAGCCAUACCGCGUGGGUGAAGAAGGCCUUCGGGUUGUAAAGCCCUUUUGUUGGGAAAGAAAAGCAGCAGGUUAAUACCCCGCUGUUCUGACGGUACCCAAAGAAUAAGCACCGGCUAACUUCGUG
rnacentral:rRNA from 1 species